UACAGAGGUCUCAAGCGUUGUUCGGAUUUACUGGGCGUAAAGGGCGCGUAGGCGGCCACUGCAAGUCAGUUGUGAAAUCUCCGGGCUUAACUCGGAAAGGUCAACUGAUACUGCAGGGCUAGAGUGCAGAAGGGGCAACUGGAAUUCUCGGUGUAGCGGUGAAAUGCGUAGAUAUCGAGAGGAACACCUGCGGCGAAGGCGGGUUGCUGGGCUGACACUGACGCUGAAGCGCGAAAGCCAGGGGAGCGAACGGG
rnacentral:rRNA from 1 species